GUGGAUUAGAUACCCUGGUAGUCCACACCGUAAACGUUGGGCGCUAGGUGUGGGAUCCAUUCCACGGGUUCCGUGCCGCAGCUAACGCAUUAAGCGCCCCGCCUGGGGAGUACGGCCGCAAGGCUAAAACUCAAAGGAAUUGACGGGGGCCCGCACAAGCGGCGGAGCAUGCGGAUUAAUUCGAUGCAACGCGAAGAACCUUACCUGGGUUUGACAUACAUCCUGCCGCUCCAGAGAUGGGGUUUCUUUUGGGGGUGUACAGGUGGUGCACGGCUGUCGUCAGCU
rnacentral:rRNA from 1 species